GCACUGCUGAGGAGUCCCUAAAUAGGACGAAACGGCCGUUCAGUGC
rnacentral:hammerhead_ribozyme from 1 species